rnacentral:rRNA from 1 species
AGUGAACGCUGGCGGUAGGCCUAACACAUGCAAGUCGAACGGCAGCACAGUAAGAGCUUGCUCUUACGGGUGGCGAGUGGCGGACGGGUGAGGAAUACAUCGGAAUCUACUUUUUCGUGGGGGAUAACGUAGGGAAACUUACGCUAAUACCGCAUACGACCUACGGGUGAAAGCAGGGGAUCUUCGGACCUUGCGCGAUUGAAUGAGCCGAUGUCGGAUUAGCUAGUUGGCGGGGUAAAGGCCCACCAAGGCGACGAUCCGUAGCUGGUCUGAGAGGAUGAUCAGCCACACUGGAACUGAGACCCGGUCCAGACUCCUACGGGAGGCAGCAGUGGGGAAUAUUGGACAAAGGGCGCAAGCCUGAUCCAGCCAUACCGCGUGGGUGAAGAAGGCCUUCGGGUUGUAAAGCCCUUUUGUUGGGAAAGAAAAGCAGCAGGUUAAUACCCCGCUGUUCUGACGGUACCCAAAGAAUAAGCACCGGCUAACUUCGUG